AUUAAGAUUAAUUGUAAACACAGUCUUCAACAUAUCGAUGAUAUGGUAAUUUAUUUAUUGCCAGUUCUCGUUUGUUAACGAAAACAAAUCCUAAUUAUCUAAGGUUUAUUUUUGUUAGGAGAACUGGUUGCUAGGUUAAUUAACCGACAUUGUUUUGCUUGUUUUGAAACCAAAACAGCAUAGAGAUAUUUUUCAAAGAUUACUUGGACUUUUCCCAUUCUUUUUUCAAAUCUUUUAUUUAAGUGAAUUAAUUAAUCAUCUAUUUACCUAUUUUUGUGUAAUUUAUUAUAACAUUAUCAAGCAUCAAUUGAAAUUUGAAAUAAGGAAACAACAUUUUACAUAAUGCCAACCGUUAAUAAUGACUCAGGACAGCCUGGGGAACAGCAUGAAGAGGCAAUACUGGAAAUGGCUCCUGUAAAGAGAUUAUGUGUCAUUACAUGUUAUUCUAUUUGGAUUGUAUGAUCGUUUGUACAAUGAACAAAUGCGUGAACGAGCUGAUUGUAGCUCCUUGAUGGUACAAACUCGGAUCAAAUUUUCUUCAUGUGAUGGACAAAUUAAGCUGAGAAACAAUAUGACGAGUUGAAUCACGACAAAGGAAACAUUUAAUUUGAUGACCAUCUUGAUGUUUCACGACGGAUAACAGGAAAACAAUGAUGAUGAAGAUUAUCAAAAUUACACAAUAAUCAGAUUAUGAAUCGUGAAUGAACUGAAUGGUAAAACUAAUUGAAACUAAAAUGAGAUUUAAAUGGAUCUUAAAAGUGUAUUUAUAGUUUCUCAGUGAUUUAAUAGGCGCAGGGUGGUUGAUAAUGAUUAAUUUUAGUCAAAUUAUUAUGAACAAGGCCCCAAGUUCAUUGUCAAGGGAAAGAUGUGUUAAGGUUAAUCGUAGGAAUCACCAAAAAAAUAGAAACAAAGUAGCACUAAUGAAAUAAGAUAAAUUGGUUCCCGUAUAACUUCUGGUGAUAGACAAUUUAUCAUGAAAUGUAUAAUUAAUAACACAGUCAUUUGAAUCUUUGAACAAUUAUAGCUACAUUCUCUUCUUUCUUCUUUUGCAAAUUUCUUGCUGAAUUUCUAAAGAUCAAAUGAACAAGCAUCAAGUUAAAAAUUUACUUGGGAAAAAUACAACAUAAUUUAUCUCUAAAUGCUCAUUUACGGUUCUUUUUUCUCAUCAUCAUGUUAGCCAGGAAACACAUACUCCCGUAUUGUAGGCAUUAGGGUAAGAUACAAUCAUUAAUUUUACAUAAUAGAGUUGAUAUUUGGAAAAGAGUGUAACAAUCAAUGGAUAAAAAAAACCGUCUAACAUGUGUUAGUGUAAAAAAGUCAAGAUACAUGAUAAAUUGGACAAAAAGAUUUUAUUCUGUAUUUGAAUCGGGCAUAUUAAUUACAUCGCUUUUUCGUCAAGAUGUAUUAUUUAAGUUAUAAUCCAAAUUUCAAUCAAAAA